GUACAUCCAUACCAUUCUUAGGACUUGAAACCGUGAAAAACCCGAGAAAACCUAAUCCCGAUUUUGUGCAUUGUUCAUGCACACAUAAAACCUUGUGUUUCAAGGAAUUCUAAGGAUAUAUGAAGCUUAAGGAGGUCCUCACGAGUCUCAGGGCACUUCAUUGGAAGGAUUUGGACGUCGGAGGGCUAAGAUCUACGUAUAUCUAGGUAAGCUGAACUAUCGAGCUUUCUCAGGGAAAACUUAGUAGAUUUUAAGCCUUGAAACUUGUAUAAUGUGAUUCUACAUGUUAUUAGCUUCAUUUUGGUACCAAUUUCAUGAAAAAUGGUGA
rnacentral:lncRNA from 1 species